rnacentral:rRNA from 1 species
AUUGAACGCUGGCGGCAAGCCUAACACAUGCAAGUCGAACGAGUGGCGGACGGGUGAGUAAUGCCUGGGAAACUGCCUGAUGGAGGGGGAUAACUACUGGAAACGGUAGCUAAUACCGCAUACCAUCGGAUGUGCCCAGUGGGGAUUAGCUAGUAGGUGGGGUAAAGGCUCACCUAGGCGACGAUCCUUAGCUGGUCUGAGAGGAUGACCAGCCAAACGGGAACUGAGCCACGGUCCAAACUCCUACGGGGGGCAGCGGUGGGGAAUAUUGCACAAUGGGCGCAGGCCUGAUGCAGCCAUGCGGCGUGUAUGAAGAAGGCCUUCGGGUUGUAAAGUACUUUCAGCGGGGAGGCGUUACCCGCAGAAGAAGCACCGGCUAACUCCGUGCCAGCCGCCGCGGUAAUUC